rnacentral:rRNA from 1 species
CCUACGGGAGGCAGCAGUGAGGAAUCUUGGUCAAUGGGCGUAAGCCUGAACCAGCCAAGUCGCGUGAGGGAUGAAGGUUCUAUGGAUCGUAAACCUCUUUUAUAAGGGAAUAAAGUGCGGGGAGUGUCCCGUUUUGUAUGUACCUUAUGAAUAAGGAUCGGCUAACUCCGUGCCAGCAGCCGCGUUAAUACGGAGGCUCCGAGCGUUAUCCGGAUUUAUUGGGUUUAAAGGGUGCGUAGGCGGCCUUUUAAGUCAGCGGUGAAAGGCUGUGGCUCAACCAUAGAAUUGCCGUUGAAACUGGGAGGCUGGAGGAUGUUUGAGGCAGGCGGAAUGCGUGGUGUAGCGGUGAAAUGCUUAGAUAUCACGCAGAACCCUGAUUGCGAAGGCAGCCUGCCAAGCCAUGACUGACGCUGAUGCACGAAAGCGGGGGGAUCAAACAGGAUUAGAUACCCGGGUAGUC